CUGCCCAUACAAGAUGAUCUCUAUUUUCUUUGCGAACCAUAUGAUUUUGCGUUUAGCUGAGAAAGCAAAAGUGCUUCAUAUUAUAGAUUUUGGUAUCUUAUACGGCUUCCAAUGGCCUGGCCUCAUCCAACGUCUCUCAGCAAGACCUGGAGGGCCUCCCAAGCUUCGAAUUACAGGAAUAGAGCUUCCCCAACCGGGUUUCCGGCCAGCAGAAAGAGUUGAGGAGACAGGGCGCCGACUGGCAAGGUAUUGUGAACGAUUCAAUGUUCCAUUUGAGUACAAUGCCAUAGCAAAGAAGUGGGAAACUAUCCAAAUUGAGGAUCUCAAGGUUGACAGCAAUGAGGUAAUUGCUGUGAACAGCAUGUUCCGGUUUAAGAAUUUACUUGAUGAGACAAUUGUGGUGGACAGCCCAAGGAAUGCGGUUUUGGGCUUAAUCAGGAAAAUUAAUCCUCAUAUUUUCAUCCAUUCCAUCACUAAUGGUUCGUAUAAUGCACCAUUCUUUGUCACACGGUUCCGGGAAGCACUGUUUCACUUCUCUGCAGUGUUUGAUGCGUUGGGUAACAACAUAGCCAGUGAAAAUGAGCACAGGUUAAUGUAUGAGAAAGAAUUCCUGGGGCAGGAGGUGAUGAACGUCAUAGCAUGUGAGGGUUCUGAAAGGGUUGAGAGGCCUGAGACAUACAGGCAGUGGCAGGUUCGGACCCUGAAUGCUGGGUUCAGACAGCUCCCAUUAAAUCAGGAGCUCACAAAGAAAUUGAAGACCAAGGUUAAGUUGGGUCACCACAAGGAUUUUUUGGUGGAUGAAGAUGGGAAUUGGCUGCUGCAGGGUUGGAAGGGACGAGUUCUCUUCGCUUCCUCCUGUUGGAUACCCGCGUAGGAGGCCAGAAAUCAGUCUUCUGGAAGUGUAGUAGUGUUAGUUAAGUGUCCAGUAUGUGCAAGGGUGAUCUGAGGUACUGCCUUCUUUGGCGUUUUAGAUCUCUCUCCUACGCACAUUCGUGUCAUCGUGUGUACAUCCAUGUGGUCUUAUUGUAGCAUUUUUAAGUUAUAAGCUUGAUCCUAUUAGCGCCUUAAGUGUGCUGGGAGUUGACUGAAAUUUUGUAUGAUAUGACUUUGUUGUAAUGCUUAGGAAAGAGUUGGAGUUGGUCCUCUUUAGGACUACUCAUUUAAUGCUUCCAUGAAAAUCCGUUGGAAACUAAAAUAUUAACCAAUUUUUUUUAUUUGAAUUAGUUUCUAAAAUUUUAUUUUGAAAAUAAAUUAUAUUUUAGAAUAAUGUGAAAAACAAUUAAAAAUAUAUAUAUAUAUAAAAUCUUUGGAAAUUGUUGAAUGCCUUUAUUAGAAUAAAUGAGAUAAAAUUCUUUUCUAGUUAAGUUUCCAAACAAAAUUAUUAAAUUUCUUUUAAUAUGGAUUUUCUGUCCCACACGUGCGAUUGAGUUGAGGGAGUGUUGACCUUGCUCGUGCUCCUUAAGCAUAGGUCCCUUUCCUUUUUUGCCUUAUACACCUAGUCCCAUGCCCCAUGUUUACUCUUUUUGUCAUCCUUGUUCCCCACAUAAAUCUGUUUUUGUGAUGGGAGUGGGAAUCAAUCAAAUGGGCAGGCUUCAUGUUUUUGUUUUUCAAAAAAAAAAAAUGGUAGUAACUUUUAUUUAGUUACACAAACUCUUAGUUAUUUAUAUUGAAAAAGGAUUGAUUUUUAAAAAUUAUUUAAAAAAUUAAAGUUUUAAAAGUAAUUCUUAAAAUAUAAGAUAAAUUUAAUGAUUUUGAAAACAAAAGAUAAUAAGCAUAUCUAAUUGGACACUUAGAUUUUUUUUUUUUUUUUGUUAUUUCAUUUAACUAUUUAUAUGGUAAUGGUUGAUAUUGAGGCUAAUCAAAGUUUGGCACAAUUUAUUAAUAUAACUAUAACUUAAUGUGUUUUUUGUGAGUUUAGAUAGAGUAUUAUUAUGUUUGAGUCAAAUUCAUGACCUAUUUAAUAAACAAAUAGUGUUUUUAGUAAGAUUGUAUUAUACCAAAUUUGAUUAGAUUGACCAGUUAAAUAAUUGUUCUAAUUGACAUGAUUAUAAUCACAACUUAUUUAAAUAAUAUUUAAUUCAUUUAAAGUGUGAUUUUAAAUAAUUUGAGUAUAAAUUUAUCAGAUUUCAAGAUUAAUCAUAUUAUUUCAAAUAAGACUUAAUUUGACUUUAUUAUUAGAUAGAACUCAAAUUAUUAAAUUUUGCUAUCUUAAAAUUUAAAAAUUUUAAAAAUGAUUUUUAAAAGCAUAAGAUAAACCUAAACUUUAUAAAAUAUUCUACUUUUAUAUAUAAGGUUUUUUUAAAAAUAAAAAUAAAAAUAAAUAAGUAUAUCUAAUUAGACACUUAAAAGUCCUUUUUUUUUUCUUUCUAUUCCCUUUGGCUAUUUCAUUUAACCAUUCAUACGGUAAUUGUUCAUAUUGAGGUUAAUCAAAGUUUGAUACAAUUUAUUAAUUUGACUAUAAUUUAACAUGUUUUUUUGCGGGUUAAAAUUAAAUAUAAUUAUAUUUGAGUCAAAUUCAUGAUUGUUUAAUGAACAAAUUGUUUUUUCAAUAAAUCUACAUUACACAAAUUUGUUCUGAUUGACAUAAUUACAACUAGAACUUAUUUAAAUUAUAUUUAAUUCAUUUACAAUUUGAUUUUAAUUAAAUUAAGUAUGAAUAUAUCAAAUUGAAUCAAAUAAGACAUAACUUAAACUUAUUAUUAAAUAAAAUUUGAUUAUUUAAUUAGUUACAUAAUGUAUUACUUAUUUAAUCAUUAGUAGAUAUUUGAAUUCAUACUUUUAAUCCGGUUAUUAUUUGUAUAGUAUUUGGAUUAACCUAUUUAGUUUGACAAACCCAAUCCAUCCACACCAAUUAUGAUCGUUGGAAGCGACUUUUUUUUAUUAGAAUGACAUUUCAUCAUCAUCGUUGCAAUGGUUGACUUGCCCUUUAUAUAGUAGUUUUCAUUGACUUUCUAAGUUAAUCAUGAUCGUGCUUGUAGCUUUUUAGUUAGAUUCUAAAUCAGGAAACACGGGUUAUGUCAAUGCGUCCCGAUAAUUAGGUGGGGAUUUAUGCAGGUACCUUUGGUGGAUAGUACCUAAGGAAUGUCUCUUUUCUUGAUGUAGGGUUGAAAUGAGUUGCCUAUUUUUUGAAUCACCAACCCUAAUCCAAAUAUUUUUAUAUCUCAUAUGAAAUAUUUUUUUAUUUUGUUUUUCAAUGUAGUGAGGAGUGGUUGCAUUUAAACCGAACCUCUAUCAAAUUACUUCUAAAAGGAAAAAAGGUAGCACCUUUGGGCAUGAUUAAAAUAUCAAGUAUCAGAACAUUUCGACACGAUAUAUGCAAGAGAAAUAUCGGAAAAUAUCGGUUCCACGAAAUUGUCAAUUUAUCGUGAGUUUCCCAUAUUUUCGAGAUUUAAUAGCAUUUUCUCAAUUUAUCGUCGAUAUAUCACAAUAUUUCGGGCUAUCAACACAUUCAACGCAAUAAGCCAACUACUGGGGCAAGUUUACCCCUUGAUAUAUAAAUUGCACCAAAUAAAUAUAAACUCAAAUUCAUCAUAUAAACAUAUUUUUUUUAAAAUGAUUUAAAUAAAAAAUUAAUUAUAAUUAUUUUAUAAUUAAAUGAAAUUUUUUCAUCUAUUUGAAUACUGAAAAUAUAAAAAUUAUCGUGAUAAUUUUAUUCAUAGUGUUUUUAAUAUCAUUAAUAUAUUAAUUAAGUAUUAAAAACUAUACAUACAUCAUUAUUUAUUUUAUAUCAUUUAAUACAAUUAAAUUAAAUGAAUUAUAAUUUUAAUAUUAAUAUAUUUUAAAAAUUUUCAAAUAUCACAAUAUCAUUAUCGAAUAAUAUUUGAUAUAAUUUAAUAAUAAAUAUAUACUUAUGAAAUUCAUAUUUUUUUUAUUAGCACAUACAAUAUUAUUAUCAAAUAUGAUAAAUUAUAUUAUACGUAUAUUAAUUUAUUGAAUAAAACAAUUUUAAAAUAUCUACUACAUUUCAAAUUUUAUUUUUAAGUUUUUUUCUUAUGUUUAUAUAUAUUUAUCAAUUUUAGGUUCACCGAUAUUUUAUGUCAAAAUAUCCGUCGAUAUAUUUUCGAUAUAUCUGUAAAAUGAAAGUACCAAUAUAUCCAUAAUUACCGAUAUUUUCAUCUUUGCCUUUGAGCGAAAUAGAUGCGUAAACACAUUGUUAAUUGUGUACACCUGUUCUCAAAACUUUAACCUAGUAACUAAAGCAAAGAUCAUUAGUCAAAUUUCUAAAAAUGUUAGGAACACUAUGAUUAAAAAUUGUAUUAGGUAUUCGGUCCAAGUGGUGGCAAAAGGUUGAUCUUCCAUGAUGAAUUUAAUCCAAGUGCCAUGAACCCGAUCUAAUUUAGUAGAUGAAAUAAAAUCAUUGUAUUCAUCAUAUAUUUGUAUUGUAAGAUUAAUAUAUUUUUAUCAUGCUUCUAUUUUGACUUUUAUGUUCGAGACAUUAAUACUAUAGCUUAUACAUGUAAUGGAUUAUUAUCAUUGAAAAGUAAAAGUUAAAUGAUGAUAGAAACAAAAGCCCAAAAAAGACAUUAUUGAAAUUAUGAAAAACGUGACUCAUGAAUUUGUGAUUUUGUUGACCCGAUUAGAAAGUUAUGGAAGGAAAGAUGAUUUUUCGUUUGAAUUUUUUCCCACCUAUUAGAAAAAUGUUCUUAGUUUGACGAAAGAGUGGAGGUAAAAAUUAUGUAAUGUCUAAUAUGGAGGUUGAGAUGGUCAGCAGCAUAAUGGCUUGAUUUUACCAUACCUGGAAAAUUGGAAAUGUCAAUUAUAUUUUUGAAAUAUAAUAAGUAAGAAUAUUAUUGAAGUGGAGCCGGAGGACGAACAAGGCCCAGCAUUAGGAGAAGGUAGACCACAUACAACGGUGGAUAACGGUUUGACCGGAGAAAGGUUGAAGCCACCGUGCCGACGUCACCCAAGAAAUGGAAAGUUUAAAAAAGCUGUCAGAAAAGACCGCAAUUUUUUUUUAACCAACGUGGCACUAGGUUACUGGAUAGUUAGGCGAGUAGAGGUGCGGCAGGGGAAGGAGUCUAUAGUAUUCACUAUUCACAGGUCAAAAGAUGGGAGUAGAGGUGGCGAGGAGCAGUCACUUGUUGGACGGAAGGACCGGUUAUAGCCGGUGGAGCUUGGCAUUGUGGCAGUGCCACGUCCGAUGCCUUCCCAGAAGCUUCGAGGAUGAGCAUCCCCUCUUUCCUAUCCUCUCCUUUAUAUGAAGUCGAUCGUACCGUCCAGUCUGGUCUCAACCCUCCUGUUCAGUUUGUUUUCCCUCUACUCGCCUCUAGGGAUUGGGUUCCAAACUCUCUCUUCUCUCCUUUGCUCUACAAAUUCAUCUAUUUUCAGGGUUCUUGAACUUGAAUUUUGCUUCACUUCUCUGUAGCGCCCGUAUUGGUAACUUCUUUUCGAUACGAGUAUGUCCAAAUUUAAAUUUUUUUUCCUUUCCAUUUUUGUUGUUCUAUCAAUGAUUUUUUUUAUUCUUAUGUGAUUUGGGUUUCUGUAAAUUACAGUUGAUCUCUAAAUAGGAACUGAAAUCUAAAUUAGGGUUGAGAGUUAGUUGUUUAGUGGGAAUUGAUUUUUUAGGGUUCAGAUUUCGGCUUUGGAUCCACGUUUGAGGGGAUUUGUUGAUGCGAUGAAUGGUAUCGAAUUCAAUGGUCAAGCCUUUUUGACUGGUUCAGAUCAGUAUCCGAAUUUUGAAAAUGGAUUCACAUUUGAUGCUCACUCGCCUCUAGAUCUUAACUUCUUAGAUCAUCCUUUUCUUCCUCCUGAUGUGAACCUGGGUGUGUUUGCUCAAUCUUCGAGCUUGAGCCCAGAUGGAGAUUCUUCCGAUGACGGUGACUCUUCUGAUAGUUUUCUCAAGUACGUAAGCCAGGUGCUUAUGGAAGAGAAUCUGGAGGAUAAAGCCUGUAUGUUCCACGAUCCGCUGGCGGUACAAGCUGCUGAGAAGUCGUUUUACGACGUUCUUGGUGGGCAAAAUCCUACCUUCCGGAGUGAGCCCCCUGUUCAUGUUGACCAAGUUGUUGACAGCCCGGAUGAUAGCGUUUCGGGCAGUAGCAGUGACUAUGGUAGUUAUAGCAGUCGUAUCAAUGGUACUAGUAAUCUUCAGUGGAGUGCUGAUGCUCACAAUUCUGCGAACCAUCAGUGGGUUGUUGAUCCCGGUGAUCGUAACUACAAAUCCUCUUUCCUACAAAACCCUCUUCCUGAAAAUUAUGUUUUUGGGUCUGCUUUAGGAUCAGCUUCGCCGUCUUCUGUCACCUCUUCUGAUAGCUUCAGUAACAUCGGUAAUGGAGUUGUUGACUCUUCACCAAAAACAGUCUUGGUUCCAAAUAUUUUUAGUGAUAGUGAGUCGAUCUUGCAGUUCAAGAGAGGGGUAGAGGAAGCUAGUAAAUUCCUUCCUAAGGCUACUAAUCUUGUUAUUGAUCUGGGGAAUGGCACAUUGCCUCCACAAUCAAAGGUGGAGACUCAAAGGGUGGUUGUGAAGACAGAGAAGGAUGAGAGGGAGAAUUCGCCUAAAUGGUUAAGGAGAAGAAAGAAUCUUCACAGGGCUGAUAUCGAAUUAGAAGAAGGAAGGAGAAGCAAGCUGUCAGCCGUUGAUUUGGAAGAAGACGAUGAUGAGCUAUCGGAGAUGUUUGAUAAGGUGUUGCUAUGUUCUGAUGAUAAAGCAGAGCCUUCUUACUAUUGUACUGGUGAUGAAGACCUGCAUAAUGGAAUUUGCAAUACCUGGCAGGUGUAUGGAAGUGCACACUCUAAUGGUGAAAAGACACGCAUUAGAAAGCAGUCCAGUGGGAAGGAGGUUGUGGAUUUUGGGACUCUGUUGAUUCAGUGUGCACAAGCCGUCUCUGCUGAUGAUCACCGGACUGCUAAUGAACUAUUAAAGCAGAUUAGGCAGCACUCAUCCCCUUUUGGUGAUGGUUAUCAGAGGUUAGCUCAUUGCUUUGCUGAUGGCUUGGAAGCACGCUUGGCAGGCACUGGGACAGAGAUUUAUACUGUCCUAGCUUCCAAGAAGGUGUCAGCGGCUGCUAUGUUGAAAGCUUAUGAACUUUUUCUUGCAGCCUGCCCAUUCAAGAAGAUCUCUGCUUUCUUUGCAAACCAUAUGAUUUUACGUCUAGCUGAGAAAGCAACAGUGAUUCAUGUCAUCGAUUUUGGUAUCCUAUAUGGUUUUCAAUGGCCCAUCUUCAUUCAACGACUCUCAGCCAGACCUGGAGGGCCUCCCAAGCUUCGAAUUACAGGAAUAGAGCUUCCCCAACCGGGCUUCCGGCCAGCAGAAAGAGUUGAGGAGACAGGGCGUCGACUGGCAAAAUAUUGUGAACGAUUCAAUGUUCCAUUUGAGUACAAUGCCAUAGCACAGAAGUGGGAAACUAUCCGAAUUGAGGAUCUUAAGAUUGACAGGAAUGAGGCGAUUGCUGUGAACUGUCUCUU
rnacentral:lncRNA from 1 species